GAGGCGAGCGCGGGUACCUGCGAACGCACCAGCUGAGCCCUCGGCAGCUGGAGACCCCGCGCCAGUUUGGUUUGGGGUAAGAGGAGGGGUCCGCAUCUCUGAAGCUCGGGCGUGAUGAGCCGGCGCCCCUAAACCGGCGUGAUGCUCGGUUUGGUUUGGACUUGCGCUGCCCUUUACUUGGGUCGCGGGGAUGCGAGUGGAAAAGCGGGCACCAAGUCCUGUAGGCUGGGUCCUGCGGCCGCGGCCGAAGUAACGGUGUAAAGAUGGACUGAUCCCGCCCAGAGCCUUCUCAACCCCAGGUGAUCCUUAUCCUCCGCCCUCCCAGGCCUUCCGUCCGUGCUCUGGGAGCCCAGCCUGACGUUUGUUAUUCAGAAAAUGUGCUUGUCAGGGGGAGGCCUAGGUUGAACACGCGCCCCCGAGUCUCCCAGGUGAAACCCUCGACACUUAUCCUUCUCUGCCGCCGCAUUUUACAGAAGACGAGCCCAGCCCCGAGAAGGGAAGAAACUGGCCCAAGGUCACAUCGUAGUCAGAGGCAGAGCCAGGACCGAAGCCAGUAGCCCUGCCUUCUAGCCUGAGAUCUAGGCACUGCUCCCUUACCGCAUCUCUCUGGGUGUUCCCGCAUCCCUCGUCCUCCUGCCGCGUCCUCCACGAGGCUCUGUUUUCGGGGACUUGGUUGGGGGGGGAGGGGGAGUGCUUCCUCCUCUCAUGCUGCGCCCUCGGGAAGGAUGCUGGACAUUAUUCAGGCCGCCUGUCCAGUUUCCUUGAGCACGAGCUGAGCCGGCUGUUAACUGGAGGACCGCAGAGGCCGCAGGACCGGGGGAGGAGGAGGACCGAGCAAGUUGGAGGCGCCGCGGGAGCAGGCCGGAGAUGCUGGGUUGGUGGUGGGCCCGCGGCCGGGGAAGGCCCGGAACCUCUACCGCUCACAGAACCCACCCGGAGGAGCCUGGCCAUUCUGCCUCUCGUGGCCACUGUGCUGACUGCCCGCUUCUCCAGACCCCUGUCACAGCCCCUGAGGAAAACCCUGAAUUUCUCUGAUAGAGUAAAUGGAACAAGGUGCUGCUGUGUGAGACCUCCUUCCUCUCCAGCUGCCCUUGCGUCAUCCACAUUUGUCCUUCCUAAACCCAUCUUGUUAGAUUCAGGCUGUCAAGCUGACUCCUGACUCCUCUCAGCAGAAAGCUGGGUAACUGGUUAUUGUUGCUGAUUUGUGACGGAAGGAACAAAAGGGAUAGAGACAUAGACUGGAAGGAGGGAAGAGAAGCCAGCAUUAAUGCCUUGGCCAGCACAGGGUGGUGUCUCGAAUGUGGCCCGGUUAGGAUGGAAAUCAGCAAGCUCUCGUCCUCUGAAUCUGGAGGCCACCUCUUUGGGAUUCACCCCUCAGCAAGUUUACUGACUACCCUGAGUUUAACUUGUACCACCUGUGAGACUGGCCUAGCUAUUAGAAGGCUCGCUGCUGUUUCACUCUGCCUCCUUUGUCCCUGUUGACCGUCGGACUUACACGCUGCUUCGGUGAACCCAGUUGCCAGCAAAGCUGUCUUGGUCACAGGCUGUGACUCUGGAUUUGGGUUCUCCUUGGCCAAGCAUCUGCAUUCAAAAGGCUUCCUUGUAUUUGCUGGCUACUUGAUGAAGGUGGUGCCCUCCCUGAGCUUUCAGACCAGAUGCCUUUCCUAAGCUGGUGGCCGCUCUGAAUCGUACUCCACCCAUCGACCCCAGCAGGAACCUUCCGGGAGACAAGUGCAUUCUCCCCACUCCCAUUGCCUGCACCGUGGAGGGCACAUUUUGAUGGCGAGUUUGAUGCCUUUCACCCUGGCUCUGUGGAACAGUUGCUGCCAAAGCCAGGGGAGCCAGCCGUGGUGGUGAGAUGAAGGGCAUUGUCCGAUUAGAGCUGGUGAGCCAUCUGCCACGAGCCCCUUUGCUCCCCAGCAGGGCUCUGAGGGACUGGACAUCCAGAGCCUGUAACCAGCCCUCUCCUCCCCACUGCAGGGAAAGGCCAAGUGAGUAGACCAACCAGCAGGCUGUGGGCCUGGCCUGAUCUUGAAACCAUCCCUUAUCUUGCAUUCAGUAAACAUUUAUUGAGUGCCUACUGUAUACUUGGUAGUAUGCUGAGCACCCAAAAGGGUAUGAGCAGGGAGGAGAAGUUUGUAGUUGGGCACCAGCCAAGUGGAUGUCAGUGGCUUCACGGUGGGACCAAUGAGGAACAGUUAUAGCACUGGAGACAUUAUGCCACGGACAGGGAAGACCCUACAUCUGGGGCACCCUUGGUCUGGGAGUGAGAAGACUGGAGUUACUCUGGGCUUAGCCUCUUACUAGAAGUGUGAUCUUGGGCUUGUCCCUUCACCUGUGAGGGUCUCAGCUUGUCCAUCUGUGAGGCUCACAUGUCAAUCUGACCACGGCAGGAGCAUUUCAACUAAAGCUGCUCUCAGACUGAGGGGCAGGGGAGCUGAGCAGAGCCAGGAAGCAGCGGAGGCAGGAGGGGCUACGAUGUCAGAGGAGUGGCAGGCUGUUCAGGCUCAGAGAGGGCAGAGUCCUUGGUGGGGAGUGGGUGAGAAGCAUGGGAAAGGAGGCCUCGCAUGCCCCACUCCGGAAGGGAAGCAUAGGAGCAGGAAGUGGUUGACCGAGGAGGAGGGUCUGCCGGAGGGGGUCAGAGCAGGAUGGAGGAGGAGGAAAGAGACUGUGACAGGGAGACCUGGGAGGGCUUCUCCAACAACAUAGGAGGGAGGCAACAGGGACCCAAACUAAUGCUGUAGACACAGGAAAGAAGGCACCGAUUCUAAGGACGCAGCAAAGGAAGGCAACAGCAGCACAGGGUUAAGUGCCAGCGCUGUGUCCUCACACAGACCUGGGUCCUAAUGCCCUCCUGUCCACUGGUUAGCUGGGUGACACUGAGCAAGGUUCUUAACCUCUCUGAGCCUCAGUUGCCUCAUCCAGAUAUGGAACAAUUUAGUAUCUAUCGUACUCUUUUCUAGGUUGGUUGUGAGGAUCAGGAGAAUGAAUGGAUGCAAAGUGCUUAGUUCAGGGCCUGGCAGCUGUCCUUUUGAUCUUUCUCAGUAAUAUUAAUAGUACUCUUGACUCAUUAGAUGGGGAAGAGAUGAAGGGGCUGGAGGAGUCGAAGAUGACAGUGAAACUAUUAGCAAGGAAGAGGAGCAGGCUUGGGCCACUGGGCACUUGGUGUGUUGGUUGGUUAGGAUGAGUUGGGGACCUGUGGGACAUGCAGGUAAGAGCGAUGGUCUGGAGGAGGAGGUGGGGUUGGGAGGAGCCAUGACUCCCUGGGGGUACAUUGGAACAGUUACUCGGAGGUGGCGAUGGGGCCGUUGCAGGAGAACAGCUGUCACCCAGACCAGCAGGAAUGUCAUGAGUUUAUUCAGAAUGCUGGCUGAGGACUCCAGUGAGCUCCUUCGUCCACAGACCGUUGCUACUUAUCAUGUCGUCAGAGUUGUGAUCCAGGAACAGUGUGCUUCCACAGGUCAAGUUCAGUUAAACUUUUUUCGUUAUCGGUGUCAGAUGUAAUUAAAUUUUAGCUGGAU
ensembl:lncRNA